UGGUGGAGUGAUUUGUCUGGUUGAUUCCGUUAACGAACGAGAUCUUGACCCAUCAAUGACAGUUCGAUCGUAUUGUAGUUCAAUGCUCAUUCCUCUGGUUUCGACGUUGUACGAGAUCGUUUCUAGUACUCAAGGGCAAGGGGACGAUGCAUGUCAACAAUGCAUGGAAGUGCGAGCCAAUAACA
rnacentral:rRNA from 1 species